CUCAAAGUUCCAGGCAUGGAAAUCGGUCCUGUUACUUUAACGCUGGAGAGAGAUGAGGGUUCCUUCUCUUGGGACAAUGGUCCAUUUGGCCCCCAGGCCCAUUGUUGGCCAAGAAAGGAUGAAGGAAUCGGGGUUCCGCCUCCUUCCCCAUGAGGGGAUUUGGAUGUGCAGAAGGGAAUGGAACUGCAGUCAGGUCAACCCUCAGCCACUCUGGAAGGACUGCAGUUAAAUCACGAAGACAACCCUCCUUCGAUUAUGAAGCAGCUGUGGAGUUUGGGUGAGUGGAAUCUUCCUUCAGCUCUUGGAGUGAACUUUGGUUCGUUUAAGUGGAUCAGUAAAACCCAUCACACCGGCCACAAUGAUUGGUUUGGGAAUAGAUUCAUGCUUAAAUUCCAACUAAUGAGACAUGUCCACUGGAGGUGAGCUAGGAAGGACAAACUCUCAGACAACCUACGCUGAGAGAAUUAACAGUCUUAGUCUGACGGCAACGCUAUGGACAUCAGAGUCCUUGAUGACAUGGUUCAGGCUCUGGAUCAGCUAUUCCUGAGGCCCACCCUAAUUUGCCUCCAAUCUCUGGGCCAACAAAUGCCUUUUAUUGUUUAAGCUCCUUGAGUCGGGUCUUUUGUUACUUACAACUGAAAUUAUCCUAACUAAUCACUAUGGACUGAAUUGUGUCCCCUCUGAAUGCAUUUGUUCAAACUUUAACCCCCAAUGUGAUGCUAUUUGGAGACUGG
rnacentral:lncRNA from 1 species